UACAGAGGUCCCAAGCGUUGUUCGGAUUCACUGGGCGUAAAGGGUGCGUAGGAGGCUCGGCAAGUAAGGCGUGAAAUCCAGCCGCUCAACGGCUGAACUGCGUCUUAUACUAUCGGGCUGGAGGACUGGAGAGGAGACUGGAAUUCUCGGUGUAGCGGUGAAAUGCGUAGAUAUCGAGAGGAACGCUAAUGGCGAAGGCAGGUCUCUGGAAAGAUCCUGACUCUGAUGCAAGAAGGCCAGGGGAGCAAACGGG
rnacentral:rRNA from 1 species